AACGAACACUGGCGGCGUGGAUUAGGCAUGCAAGUCGAGCGGGAUUAACUUGCUUCAAUUCUUCGGAAAAGAAGCUUGUUAUGAGAGCGGCGAACGGGUGAGUAAUAUAUGGGUAAUUUGCCUCAGAGCUUGGGAUAGCCAUCCGAAAGGGUGGGUAAUACCGCAUAAUGCCUACGGGCCAAAGAGGGGGAUCUUCGGACCUCUCGCGUCAAGAUAUGCCUAGGUGGGAUUAGCUAGUUGGUGAGGUAAUGGCUCACCAAGGCGACGAUCCCUAGCUGGUCUGAGAGGAUGAUCAGCCACACUGGAACUGAGACACGGUCCAG
rnacentral:rRNA from 1 species